rnacentral:rRNA from 1 species
AUGCUACCGAGCCCUCUUUGCUGGAUCCACGUCCGCUCCCUUCUGGCGCCUUACUUGGAAGUGCUAGGGCCCCCUGCGCGUCAAGAUGUUCACCUGGCUGGCCGACCUCGACCGCUGCUAGACUGCCGCAAGGUUGGCUCGCCACGGUCUCCCUCACAACGACAGAUGCGUUCUUUGCGACCAGGAUGCCGAGACCAUGCAACAUAUAAUCGUCGGCUGCCCCUUCUCCAGGCAGAUUUGGCAUGA